ensembl:lncRNA
UUUUGGUUUACAAUUUAUUUGACAAGACAAUGAUCUGUAAAACAUUUACAAUAGAAUUCCCAAAAAGCAUACAAAAUGACAGUUGAUCUGUGAUACACAAAAGAAAGGAAAGAAAAUCAAUAAGACACUCACAGAAAAUAUGAUUACAUCUCCAGUGUGUGUGUGUGUUGUUCUGUUGUAUCACUGCCGUUAUCAAUGUCAAACACAUCCUGUGUUUGUGUAUUUCCCCGUUUCAUCAUCUGUUCUACUGUCAGAGAAGAAAUGUGAGAAUUGAAAAGCUAAAAAUAACAUAAAGAAGGCACGUCUGGCUCCGUGAUGAGAAGCUGUGAUGACAAUGGAUGAACGAGAGAGAUCGGAGAAAAGGAUAAAACAGAAAAAAGGAGUGUGAGUGAGGGAGAGGACUCAGACCCAACAACCGACAUUCACAGCUUGUGGUUUCUGGCAUUGAACCCGUUGGAACAAAGGCGGAGCAAAAGCACCUUGACCGAAAUGCAACUCCUCCUAGAAGGGGCGAAUCCAGAGCCUUUAUCUAACAGAUAAUCCAUCAGAAAACAGUGCAGCUCCACCAUCCCUCCAUCCAGGAACUGCCAACCCAUUUGCUCGGGCAGCCUGCAAACUGAUUUACAGAUAUUUCUCUACAGAUUCCAAUUUAGGAGUCGGCCUCAUGACUAUUUCUGGAAAUGUUAAAAAUCCAAUUCAAGACACCUCCCAAUGCAGUGACUCUAUUAAAGGCUCUGGGUAAAACACAAUGAUCCCCAAAAUGAGACGGCAGAGACGAAACUCAUAACUAAAUGCUUGCUGAGUCACUGGUCUCUGAUAUAAUGGGCCCCAAUGAUUGUCUUUUUUUCCUUUUGCUCAGUCCAUCAAGAAGAGCCUGCUGGCAAACACAUUAAACACAUGAAUCCACAAGAAACUCAACAUUCAUUCAUUGUGGGGAAUUAAUUUACAGACAAAGAAAAAAGCAGAGAAACCAUUACAUUAAAGUCCCAUUGAUGACAGUUUUUGUUCUGUGGCUGGGUUAUAAAAUACAUCAUAUAUGAUUGUCUGACACUGCACCGUAUAAGCCAGUCAAAAGGCCACGUUCUUGGUAAUGUGGCACGACUUUUCUUGCAGAAUAUGGAAAUAGCUUUUCCCCCCAAAGGCCCAUGCAGCAUGCAGACAUUCCCUUUAAUGACCGUAAACAUCUUAGAGACAGAAAUCAGAUACACAAUAGAAACUUUUAGCUAUUGUAGAAGUCCCUAUUCAUCCUGCAGCAAAUAUCAUCGCUAAACAAUCAACUAAUUUCCAACUUAUGUUACCUUUUGAUCAUCAGAAACCGCAUUUUUAAUAUUUGAAUUCCUCUUUAAGGACAAAUGAUGGCGUAGCAGUGCGUUAGCUAGCAUGCAGCAAGCAGUGGGACUUCUAUAAUGACUAUAAAAGCAGCACAUGAACAAAACAAAGUCACGAUGCCUAUAAAAAGUGGACGUUUUCCCAUUCCACUGCUUUUCAACAUUGGAUCAUAGUCAAUUUAAUUUGACUUUCUUGAGAAGAACUUGCAAAAAAGACUCUUUCAUACCAAAGUGAAAACAGAUUUCUACAAAGUAAUGUCAACAUAAAAUGUAAAAUAAGUGAUUCUAUAAGUAUUCACUUCUUAAAGUCAGUAUUUAGUAGAUAUACCUGCAUCUGAAAGGUCCAGCCACUGACUACAUCAUGAAGACAAAAGAGCACUCCAAGCAAUUUUGUGGAGGUUAUUGUAAGCAUGGAAAGGGUAGAUAUAAGAAAAUGCCCAAGUCACUGAAUAUGCCUUUGAGUACAGUUGAAUACAUUUUUAAGGAAGGGAAAGAAUAUGGCACAUGUGGCAGCCUGCCGAGAGCAGCAAGAAAGCGUGAGGGGGGCCACCAAGACACCUAUGACUCCUCUGGAGUCAACUGGAAGACGGUUCUUUGGUCUGAUGUAACCAAAAUGGAGCUUUUUAGCCAUGAGUCCAGAUGCUGUAUUUGGCAGACACCAAACACUACACAUCAUCACAAACACAUCAUCACCACUGUGAAGCGUGGUGGUGUUAGCAUCAUGAUGUGAAGCAUAUUAGUGUUAGCAUCAUGAUGUGAAGCAUGGUGGUGGCAGCAUCAUGAUGUGAAGCAUGGUGGUGGCAGCAUCAUGAUGUGAAGCAUGGUGGUGGCAGCAUCAUGAUGUGAAGCAUGGUGGUGGCAGCAUCAUGAUGUGAAGCACGGUGGUGGCAGCAUCAUGAUGUGAAGCACGGUGGUGGCAGCAUCAUGAUGUGAAGCACGGUGGUGGCAGCAUCAUGAUGUGAAGCAUGGUGGUGGCAGCAUCAUGAUGUGAAGCAUGGUGGUGGCAGCAUCAUGAUGUGAAGCACGGUGGUGGCAGCAUCAUGAUGUGAAGC